rnacentral:rRNA from 1 species
GACAGAGGGUGCAAACGUUGUUCGGAAUUACUGGGCGUAAAGCGCGCGUAGGCGGCUUUGCAAGUCGGUUGUGAAAUCCCCGGGCUUAACCUGGGAACUGCAUUCGAGACUGCAUUGCUAGAGUAUGGGAGAGGGAAGUGGAAUUUCAGGUGUAGCGGUGAAAUGCGUAGAUAUCUGAAGGAACAUCAGUGGCGAAAGCGACUUCCUGGACCAAUACUGACGCUCAUGUGCGAAAGCGUGGGGAGCAAACAGG